AAUAAAAGUGCGUUGCUCCGCUGUUGAAACGCACUUUAGUUCCGCUUUGAUGAUAGGCAGCUUACCAGCCAAUUUUGCAAGUUUCUCUCAGGCUCCAUCUUUGUUAAGCUAGAAGCUUUUCAUAUCCCUUAGAGAUGAACGAGAUACUCAAAAUCUUGAUGCUCCUGAUGAUUGCUGCCAGCACGAUGACACAGGAUGCCUCACAAAGCGACAGUAUUGCGGUGAAUCACAGUGAACCACAGGACACCGCACAACAGAGUGACUUGGCUUCAGCAAUCAACAAACAACAUCCUAGCAGAUUGGAACCGUGUUUUCCACUUUGCUUUCCGGACUACGGCAAGCGAGAAUAUCUAGUUGGAGAAAGGGCUGAAAAAGACUUGUUGAACACAAACAAAAGAUCCCUGUUUAAACAAGUUAAAGGUUUCAUUCCACAGUUUAUAUGGAAAGCUUUCAAACGAGAACAAGCAUUAGAAGCAAUUAAAAAGAGUGGAAGUCAUUAACCUCCACUGGGAAGCAGGCAAAUAUAGACACAAGGGCCGCUGAGAGUAUGAACAGUUAACAAGCUUAACCAAGAAAGCGCAUGUGUUCUUAAAAUGAGGCCAUAGGAAGAAAUGAAAAUCAUAACAAUUUUAAAGAUCCCAAAGAAAAGCAUCGCUCUACC